rnacentral:lncRNA from 1 species
AUUGCAUUUUUUUAUUUUAAUUUUAUAUGAAGUUUUAUGCUUCAAAUAUAUAAAACACACACACACACACCAAGGGACUAAGAUGUUAUUUCACAGCACUUGCUUGCCUCAGUCUUUAUGAAGAACACAAUUCCAAACUAAUGGACAAGUUCCUCCCUGUACUCUAGGUCAUUCAAAGGAGGCAAGCUCCUUUGUCAAAUCAGGAGCUCCAUCAGCUGAUCAGGAGCUCAGAUGCCAGCGUGGGAGUUUCUUAGUGGGAUCUAGUAUUGCUAGAAAAGCCUUGCUUAUGCAGCAAAAGACAGGCACAUGGGCCUCUUCCCUUAGAAUGUAUCUGUCUCACAUGCUUGGGAACUGCUGUGCAGGAACACCUGGUGUGGCCUGAGGCAGUGUAUAUACGUGGCUCCCCAACAUUGGUCUAUGUUGCACUGUUUUUAAUUUUUUUUUUUUUUUUGAGACAGAGUUUUGCUCUUGUCCCCAGGUUGGAGUGCGAUGGCACGAUCUUGGCUCACUGCAGCCUCUGCCUCCCGGGUUCAAGCAAUUCUGCUGCCUCAGGCUCCCAAGUAGCUGGGAUUACAGGUGCCCGCCACCGUGCCUGGCUAAUUUUUGUAUUUUUAAUAGAGACGGGGUUUCAUCAUGUUGGCCAGGCUGGUCUCAAACUCCUGGCCUCAGGUGAUCCACCCGCCUCGACCUCCCAAAGUGCUGAGAUUACAGGCAUGAGCCACCUCGCCCAGCUGUUUUUAAUUCUCUAAGUUAUCAUUUGCCAUCUCCUUGGCCCUUUGUAGUAAUUCCCCUCCCUUUUUUGUUUUUCUGUGUCCAUCUUUCCCAUUCCAAAUACUUGAUGUAAAGGGAGAUUCCACCUUGAAAACCAGAGUUCCAGUCCUGGCUUGCUGCUACACUCUACUGCUGACCUUGAUCUUGACCUUGACCUUGUCUGCAUUUAUUUCUUUGAUGAGGAGGGCAGACAGAAAAACAUUGCUAUAGUGCUUAAUUUUUUUUUAUUACAAAAGAAAAUGAAGAAAAUAAUUCAAACUAUAGCAGAAACAUGAAAAAGGGAAAAGUGAGUCUUCACUAUUUGUCUCCUUCAGUAACCAUAUUUAUUUGGGUAUAUUCUUGCAUGUUUUUACGGCAAAAACAAAUUCAACAGAUAUAUAUAUAUACUAUUAUGGAACCCUUUUUAUUUUCCUUUGAACUUAACUACGUAGCAUUCUCUGAUAAGUAAUGUAAGCUCCAGACAGCAAGGAUUUUUGACUGCUUCAUUCACUGCUAUAUUUCUGGAGACUAGAAUACUGUUUGGCAUAAAGUAGGUGCCAACAAAUAUUCACUGAACGCACCAGACGUGGUGGCUCACGGCUGUAAUCCUAGCACUUUGGGAGGCCAAGACGAGCAGAUCACUUGAGGCCAGGAGUUCAAGACCAGCCUGACCAACAUGGUGAAACCCCGUCUCUAUUAAAAAUACAAAAAUUAGCCAGGUAUGGGGGCGCAUACCUGUAAUUCCAGCUACUCCAGUGAGUAUCUGGACAGGGGAAUCGCUUAAACCUAGGAGGCGAAGGCUGCAAUGAGCCAAGAUUGCACCACUGCACUCCAGCCUGAGCAACAGAGUGAGACUCUGUCUCAAAAAAAAAAAACUUAAAAAUUAAAAAAAAAAAAAAAAACAGAAGGGGACCAAAUAUACACAUCCCUGGCUCCAUGGAACUCCCAGUUGACCUGACGGAAAAAAAAAAAAAGAAGAAGUAGUAUAUAUACAUAUAUAUAGGUAGUAUAUAAAUAUAUAUAUAGUAGUAUAUAAAUAUAUAGUAGUAUAUAAAUAUAUAUAUAGUAGUAUAUAAAUAUAUAGUAGUAUAUAAAUAUAUAUAUUAGUAGUAUAUAAAUAUAUAUAUAUUUUUUUUUUUUUUUCACUGAAUGAAUGAAAGGACACAAAUCCUCCUUGCUGUCAGAUCAACUAGGAGUUGAAUGGAAUGGAGCCGGGAAUGUGUCUAUUUGGUCCCCUUCUGUGGUCCCAGCACCAAACAAAGUGCCUGGCACACAGUAAGCAUUUAAUAAGUAUUUGUUGAUUUAGCAAAAAAGCUUAAUGAUAAAACCACCUAAUUCUUUUUACUUGCACCAGUGUAUUGACAUAACACUGUAAUCAACAAUUCCCUUAUUCAUUGUAAAAAUCUCCGCAAACACCAUUGCAAUGAUCAGCCUUGUACACAUACCCUUAUUUAAAGAUUUUGGUAGGAUAAGAAUGUCUUUUGAGGGGGACCAUUGAUCUGCUUCAAAUGUGUCGUGAAGUUUCUUCUCACUAGGAUUUCAUGGCAUUAAGACACUUAUGGGCUGGGCACGAUAACCCAACGCCUGUAAUCCCAGAACUUUGGGAGGCCGAGGCGAGUGGAUCACCUGAGGUCAGGAGUUCGAGACCAGCCUGGUCAAUAUGGCAAAACCUCAUCUCUACUAAAAAUACAAAAAAUUAGCCGAGUGUGGUGAUGUGCACCUGUAAUCCCAGCUAUUUGGGAGGCUUUGGUAGGAGAAUCACUUGAACUCAGGAGGUGGAGGUUGCAGUGAGCCAAGAUUGUACCAAUGCACUCCACCCUGGGCGACAGAGCAAGACUCUAUGUCAAAAAAUUUAAAAAGACAGUUCAGAUUAAUUUUUUAGCCUGUAUGAGAGCUGUUCCCUACAAUUAAUUUUGCAAAAUGAUCUCCCUUACGUAUCUGCCUACAGAAUGUCAGUCUGUCCCGAAACUAUCUAGAUGCAGCCCAAUGCUCUAAUUCACACGAGACUGUCAGAAAGACUUCUAGAAACAAGCAGGCUGGCGACAGCCUUGCUGGCCAACAUCUUCUGCAUGCAACACAAUCACAGCUUAGUCAUCACCUGGGGAGGACCAGUUUUUAGGCAGUGAUAGGCCCAUAUUGUUAAUUCAUUCCGAUGUGCUGAGGAUGGCUCAGCAGAAAGAAGGAAAUAGACAAAAGAGUAAGACCCCAACAAAGGCCUGAGCUGAACAAUGUUGAGAAACAAAGGCCACUUUGGCCUGGAUAAGAGUUAAUAUGGGGCUGGGCACAGUGGGUCACACCUGUAAUCCCAGCAAUGUGGGAGGUCGAGGCGGUCAGAUCACACAGUCAGGAGCUUAAGACCAGCCUGGCCAACAUAGUGAAACCCCGUCUCUACUAAAAAUACAAAAAUUAGCUGGGUGUGGUGGUGCAUGCCUGUAGUCCCAGCUACUUGGGAGGCUGAGGCAGGAGAAUCGCUUGAACCCAGGAUGCACAGGUUGUGAUGAGCCGAGAUUGUGCCACUGCACUCCAGCCUGGGCAACAGAGUGAGACUCUGUCUCAAAACAAACAAACAAACAAAAGAGUGAAUAUGGGAGCUUCUGGGUAUUUGUGAGUUCCCUAAGAAGUGAACUUGCAGAGUCACACUCUCUCUGAGCUGUCUAAUGGAAGUCUUCCAGAAAGCUACCUUUCUGAUUAUUUAAGUUUUUCACUCCAAAAAUAUUUAGUCCGGGCACGGUGGCUCACGCCUCAAAUCCCAGCACUUUGGGAAGUCGAGGCAGGGGGGAUUGCUUGAGCCCAGGAGAUUGAGACCAGCCUAGCCAACAUGGUGAAACCUUGUCUCUACUAAAACUAUGCAAAUUAGCUUGGCAUGGUGGUGCAUGGCUAUAGUCCCAGCUACUGGGGAGGCUGAGGCAGAAGAGUGAAUUGUGCCCAGGAGGUCAAGGCUGCAGUGAGUGAAGAUCAUGCCACUGCACUCCAGCCUGGGCGACAGAGUGAGAUUCUUUUAUUAUUAUUAUUAUUAUUAUUAUUAUUAUUAUUAUUAUUAUUAUUAUACUUUAAGUUUUAGGGUACAUGUGCACAGUGUGCCUGUUAGUUACAUAUGUAUACAUGUGCCAUGCUGGUGUGCUGCACCC